rnacentral:rRNA from 1 species
UACGUAGGGCGCAAGCGUUGUCCGGAAUUAUUGGGCGUAAAGAGCUCGUAGGCGGCUUGUCACGUCGGGUGUGAAAGCCCGGGGCUUAACCCCGGGUCUGCAUUCGAUACGGGCAGGCUAGAGUGUGGUAGGGGAGAUCGGAAUUCCUGGUGUAGCGGUGAAAUGCGUAGAUAUCUGGAGGAACACCGGUGGCGAAGGCGGCAUCCUGGACCGGCAUUGACGCUGAGGAGCGAAAAGCCAGGGGAGCAAACGGG